GACGAACGCUGGCGGCGUGCCUAAUACAUGCAAGUCGAACGAACUCUGGUAUUGAUUGGUGCUUGCAUCAUGAUUUACAUUUGAGUGAGUGGCGAACUGGUGAGUAACACGUGGGAAACCUGCCCAGAAGCGGGGGAUAACACCUGGAAACAGAUGCUAAUACCGCAUAACAACUUGGACCGCAUGGUCCGAGCUUGAAAGAUGGCUUCGGCUAUCACUUUUGGAUGGUCCCGCGGCGUAUUAGCUAGAUGGUGGGGUAACGGCUCACCAUGGCAAUGAUACGUAGCCGACCUGAGAGGGUAAUCGGCCACAUUGGGACUGAGACACGGCCCAAACUCCUACGGGAGGCAGCAGUAGGGAAUCUUCCACAAUGGACGAAAGUCUGAUGGAGCAACGCCGCGUGAGUGAAGAAGGGUUUCGGCUCGUAAAACUCUGUUGUUAAAGAAGAACAUAUCUGAGAGUAACUGUUCAGGUAUUGACGGUAUUUAACCAGAAAGCCACGGCUAACUACGUGCCAGCAGCCGCGGUAAUACGUAGGUGGCAAGCGUUGUCCGGAUUUAUUGGGCGUAAAGCGAGCGCAGGCGGUUUUUUAAGUCUGAUGUGAAAGCCUUCGGCUCAACCGAAGAAGUGCAUCGGAAACUGGGAAACUUGAGUGCAGAAGAGGACAGUGGAACCCCAUGUGUAGCGGUGAAAUGCGUAGAUAUAUGGAAGAACACCAGUGGCGAAGGCGGCUGUCUGGUCUGUAACUGACGCUGAGGCUCGAAAGUAUGGGUAGCAAACAGGAUUAGAUACCCUGGUAGUCCAUACCGUAAACGAUGAAUGCUAAGUGUUGGAGGGUUUCCGCCCUUCAGUGCUGCAGCUAACGCAUUAAGCAUUCCGCCUGGGGAGUACGGCCGCAAGGCUGAAACUCAAAGGAAUUGACGGGGGCCCGCACAAGCGGUGGAGCAUGUGGUUUAAUUCGAAGCUACGCGAAGAACCUUACCAGGUCUUGACAUACUAUGCAAAUCUAAGAGAUUAGACGUUCCCUUCGGGGACAUGGAUACAGGUGGUGCAUGGUUGUCGUCAGCUCGUGUCGUGAGAUGUUGGGUUAAGUCCCGCAACGAGCGCAACCCUUAUUAUCAGUUGCCAGCAUUAAGUUGAGCACUCUGGUGAGACUGCCGGUGACAAACCGGAGGAAGGUGGGGAUGACGUCAAAUCAUCAUGCCCCUUAUGACCUGGGCUACACACGUGCUACAAUGGAUGGUACAACGAGUUGCGAACUCGCGAGAGUAAGCUAAUCUCUUAAAGCCAUUCUCAGUUCGGAUUGUAGGCUGCAACUCGCCUACAUGAAGUCGGAAUCGCUAGUAAUCGCGGAUCAGCAUGCCGCGGUGAAUACGUUCCCGGGCCUUGUACACACCGCCCGUCACACCAUGAGAGUUUGUAACACCCAAAGUCGGUGGGGUAACCUUUUAGGAACCAGCCGCCUAAGGUGGGACAGAUGAUUAGGGUG
rnacentral:rRNA from 1 species